AAGACACGCUAACUUAAAGCGUUCCUUAAUAUGCUAAAUUCCCUAGCUCCUCCUUUCAACCCGAUUUCACAGUUUGAAGGAACUUCCCUUUCCACCGCAAGCAGAGUGUGAACCUUUACAAGUUCUGGCACAGGAGGUUGAAGGACACACACUUGCCUGUAUAGCCUCUCUGAAAAAAUGUGGCUCUACACCCCCAUGUAAAAGAUGGUGUUGUUUCCUCCUCCCUGGUCCAUCCUAACUCUGGAGGAAACGCCAUAUCUGGAGACAGCAUUCAUGAAGCAAUCCAUUACAGUACUGCUGCGAUUGUUGCUGGAAGCAUGGAGAAACACAACGAGGCGGCUGCACCAACUAAUGCCACCAUGUAUGACUAUCCUCCACCUAAAUCAGAAAACACAGCACUGGUAGAUACAAAAGCUGAAGACACAUGAAAUAUACAAACAUCACCAUCCUCCUUUACCACUUAGAUGCUGCAUCUGGUACCUGCAGUAUAUAACAAAGCAGCAGACCAGAUAUUAAAUUAACAUCCAAAAUGUGGAACAAUGUUAACUAAUCAAGUUAAUGAGUCAAGAGGACAGACUCUCCUGUUGUUCACACUUAGGCACAAAUACUUUGUUCCAACCAUUUUUGCCUCAGUAUGUCCUCAAUAUAAGCAUGUUUGUUAAUUUCAUGAUGCAGAUAUUCUAUCGAUCACAGAAGUAGCAGAAACACAAUAAAACAAUUAUUAUCCACAU